CACACGACUCUCGGCAACGGAUAUCUCGGCUCUCGCAUCGAUGAAGAACGUAGCGAAAUGCGAUACCUGGUGUGAAUUGCAGAAUCCCGUGAACCAUCGAGUCUUUGAACGCAAGUUGCGCCCGAGGCCAUCCGGCCGAGGGCACGCCUGCCUGGGCGUCACGCC
rnacentral:rRNA from 1 species